rnacentral:rRNA from 1 species
UACGGGGGGAGCAAGCGUUGUUCGGAUUUACUGGGCGUAAGGGCGCGUAGGCGGCGCAACAAGUCACUUGUGAAAUCUCCGGGCUUAACUCGGAAAGGUCAAGUGAUACUGUUGUGCUAGAGUGCGGAAGGGGCAACUGGAAUUCUCGGUGUAGCGGUGAAAUGCGCAGAUAUCAGGAGGAACACCGGUGGCGAAGGCGGUUCUCUGGGCAUGAUCUGACGCUGAGGAGCGAAAGUGUGGGGAGCGAACAGG